AUUGAACGCUGGCGGCAUGCCUUACACAUGCAAGUCGAACGGUAACAGGUCUUCGGAUGCUGACGAGUGGCGAACGGGUGAGUAAUACAUCGGAACGUGCCCGAUCGUGGGGGAUAACGGAGCGAAAGCUUUGCUAAUACCGCAUACGAUCUACGGAUGAAAGCAGGGGACCGCAAGGCCUUGCGCGGACGGAGCGGCCGGUGGCAGAUUAGGUAGUUGGUGGGAUAAAAGCUUACCAAGCCGACGAUCUGUAGCUGGUCUGAGAGGACGACCAGCCACACUGGGCCUGAGACACGGCCCAGACUCCUACGGGAGGCAGCAGUGGGGAAUUUUGGACAAUGGGCGAAAGCCUGAUCCAGCCAUGCCGCGUGCAGGAUGAAGGCCUUCGGGUUGUAAACUGCUUUUGUACGGAACGAAAAGCCUCUUUCUAAUAAAGAGAGGUCAUGACGGUACCGUAAGAAUAAGCACCGGCUAACUACGUGCCAGCCGCCGCUGUAACAC
rnacentral:rRNA from 1 species